CCCGCUACAAAGACAAGUCAAGGGGGAAUCUCACAUUUACACUUCAGGCAGGUGUAGUCUGACAUCUCUUGUUCAGCAUGGAGACAGACAUGGGUCAGCAUAGCCUUUAGCUUUGCAAAUACAGCAGAGUUGUUGCUUGUCACACAGCUACCUGCCUUGUGUUAAACUGGCAGCACAGGCCUCAGGUCUCUGCACUUGUCAGGCUUUGCUUGGACUUGUCCUAGCCUGCCUGGUUGUUUUUUUUUUUUUUUAGCUUCUUUGUUUGUUACAGUAAUUAUCCAGCAAUCAGGUACUAUUACCUGAUUUUCUGAAAUUGUUCCUUAGCUUUAUAUGAUUGUAUGGUAUAACAUUUACAUAGUUACACAUCUAGAUAUUUCUGUAACUAGGAGAUAUUAAGUAGUUAUUCUUAAAGUGAAGUUGUCUAUGGCCCUAGUAUGAAAAAUGAAGGAGUACAGGCAUGGCAGGAUGAUAGCAGGGGACUGAAGAGUAGAGGCACAGGAUGAUAUUGGAGGCUUCAGGGCUAUACCAGCUUGCAGUGCUCAGUUACUGGUCAUCAAAGGACAGCAGCCUUGCAAGCUGGGUAAAACCAGUUUGAGGGAUAACAGAGACUGAGUACCCAGUGUGUGUAAACCACAGCACAGGUAGUAAACUCACACGUAGUGUGGACCUGUGAACCAAUGAAGGAAGAGCAAGGGGUAGAGCACACCAGCGAAUGUAUAAAAAUGACCCCAGGCAGGCUCCAGAGCACAGAGGUUGCAUCCACCACCAUUGUACUCCCCCCAGCAAGGGUGCAGGAUGCUGCCAUCCUGCCACCUCCUUCCCUUAGGGCUGAAGCCAUCAACCUGAGGAACCAGUGGGCCAGAGAAAGGGUGAGCAUAACACCAGAGAAUGGGGAAGAUACUAAAAAGUUUGUGUGUACUAAUUUUAACAACACAUAAUCUGAAUUGUAAGUCUCAGUAUUGUAACCAGACUAACAAUUCUUGGUUAAGACUGUUAAGAUUUUAAAUAUUCUGCUGAUAAAUUCUUAUUUUUGCAUACAAGGCAUGGGUUUUUUCACCAUAACAGGAUUUUGAGUAUAAGAAAUCCGUGGUAAUUCAAGCCACCUACUCUGUUAACUGGGUGCAAAAAAACUGGUAAUACUGAGUGCCCUGCACACCUGGGUAGAGCCAAAGCCCCAUUGCUUUCUUGCUUGCUGUAUGUGAUAUGAAAAUACCCACACAGUGCAAGGUAAUCUCUGAAAUGAGUGGAGCAGCAUGACCAAAGCCUCAGCUGUUCAAGAAGAGACAGUCCUGCCAGAACAUGGUGUUCCCCUGACCAAAACUCAAGGUAGGGGCUGUUUCAGGCCACAGAUGUGAACAAGGAUGGCUAGUAUCUCACUUGCUCUCUGUCAUCGUAAUUACUGCAGGAUGUCAGAGACACUGAGCAAGACCCCAGGGCUGGGGAAAAUGGGAGCUUUCAAUGAGGAGGCACCAGCACCCACUACCCCACAACUGUCUACAGCUUCUCUCUGUUAAGAGACACCUGGAGGGCUGCCACACCAGAUGCAAUGAUGUAUCAGUGACAACAGACCUGUCCAACUUGUCGUCUUUGGCAAAAGGGGAAGGCAGCGGGUGAGCAGCCCCAGGGUGCACUGAGGCUGUGGCACCAAAAGUCCCUGUUUCAGCAGUAAGUCAGAGGAUGUCAGCACCCAUGGGAAAGCACAGAACAUGGUGCACGCAGCAGCACAGCCAUGGGAGGAUGAUCCCAGAGAUUUCUGAGAAGGGAAGGGGGGCAGAAAUAUGCAAGAGACUCACAAGUAGACACAUGCUGUGUCUGGAAAAGGAAUGGUAAAGCUACCCCGGAUGCCAGCUUUUGUGGUGUUUAGAGCAGAAGCAGGAGUAAAUCGUGGGUUUACCCAAAAGGCAGUGUUUUAGCACAAGAUCAGCUUCACAGGGUGAUACGAGUGUCCCAGAGUACCCUUCUCCCAGUGCCUAGGUGAUGGCACAUACAGAACUGACGUUUUGGGAAAAAAACAUCCCUUCAAAACCCACCCCUUUGCAGUCAGUCACUGAACUCGUCCGGCUGCCGAGCAUUUAAAACCUUGUGGACCAAUAUGGGACAAAAGGCAAAAAGAUGGUGCAAGAAGAGGAAGAGGGAUUCAAGGCAAUGAGACAGACCUGGGAGGCAGCCAUGUCCCCAUCCUCCUUCAAUGAUCUUUGCCUAGCCUUCCCUCCCCACAGGUCCCCUGCCAUGUGUCAGACCCCAGGACUUCCAGCUCUUCCCCACAGCUGGGCAGCAAGACCGUAGGGAAGACUGGUGCAGGGCCAGCCACAUCACUGAGGGACAAGAUCUGGGUGGCCACAGGUCAGAGACCCUGGCCACCCCCACUCCCUCUGGGUGCAAGGGGCAGCCCAGGCAGGAGGCUGUGACCCACAGCCCAGGGACCUUCUGGGUCACCACUCCAGGGCUAACAGGCUCCCCUCCGCUCUGCUGAGGUGGUCAGAGGAAGCCUGUCCCAUGGACAAUACUUAAAACCUCUUUGUUAGUCUGGAAAUAGAGGAAAGCAGGACAAAAGCGUUAGUAUGUCUCCUUUUUCUUUGCUUCCUUACCUGAUGUACUGAUACUCAGUUAUUCAGUCACUAGACAUUUAGCAACUUGACCAAAAGCACCUUUUUUUUUUUUUUUCACAGAUAGCCAUAAGAAAUAAGAUUUCAUCAUUAUUUAUUCUGUCUUAUCUUCAGUGACUAAUCCAGGCAGCUACAGAUUAGUGGAAGGCAUCAGCAUGCCUCUACCACUGACAAGGGACAGCAGCUCACCAAGAGGAGGUGAAAUCACAGCUGAAAGCUCUAGUAGGGCUUCUGAUAUGGCUGCUAGCAGACAUCCCUCCUCUGCAGCCCAUGUUACACAUUACCUGGGAAGAACAAUUUGAUCUGGUACACAACAGCAGGAGGCUGAGCAUCUAAGCACGUUUGUCACAUGCAGUCCAUGUUACUCAUACACAAGCCUAAGAAGGAGUUGAGACCUGAUGUUUGGAACAUGUUAGAAGUGAAGACAGUUGCUUAUACAGUCCAGCCUGUAUGGAGUACAGACAAGGUGGAUUAUCACUGGGUCUGACCUACCACAGGUAUCAAAGUAGGUCCAAUGACUAUAUUCUUUCUAUAGAAAGAGACUGCAGAGCAACUUAGUGUCCAAGCUUAGGUCUCCCAAUGCAUGUUACGAAUGUGAUGUGCCUAAGCUGUAAGAUAACUAAGGUCAAGCUGAAGAUAUGAGUUUGGGUGACAAGUGUAUGAACCAUGAUGCUAAAGACUAAAGCCUGUUCUCAAGCGCUCUCUUGAUACACAGUCCUCAACUUCAUGCUAUUACUGCACUGGUGUUCCCAAGAGCACUUGUUUUCCUCUUGGUCAGAGAGCAGUCUUGUUAAAUAUAGCCACUUGCUUAAUAAAAAUGUAGUUGAAAUAUCAUAUUCACCCUACGUUUAUCUUCUACUAAAUAGACAUGUUGGCUGACAAGAAGUCUCACCACAGGACUGGCUGUCCUUUAGAAUGACAAUGACUGGAACUUGAAGACACCACUGCUGACUGAAGAACGGGUGGUGAAUGGUAAUUUAAACCUCCUGUCAAUGCAAAUGCUUCCAUGCUCGUUACAAUGCCAAGAAGAAAAAUGAAUACCCCCAUCAAAGACAAAUUAUAUGAUGCAGAAAUGUCACAUUCAUUCUAUAAUCAGCUACUGACCAAGGUUACCAUCAUUCAGUAUGGAGUGACUUCAGUGGGAUCCAAAAAUUGUUUCAUUAUACAGGGAGCAAAAUAGGUGCUUUCAAUCAAAAAUGACUAAGAAGGAAACACUGAAGAUACUCGAUGAGGCCUUCUGGGAGGUAAGAAGGAUGUCCUCGAUGUGUUUAGCGACUUAUUCUGAUCUGGCCACAGAGCCAGGAAGUGUCUGAAGUAAAACUGCUCCCAUGCUGGACACACCACUCUCUGUAAAGGCAUAUAUAAUACCAUGUAUUACAGGCUUUCAAAUGCUUCAGUUUGGCACAAAAUCCUGACUGUAGGAGAGCGGGAAUCUUUCCAAGAAAAGGCAUAUAGAGCAGUGCUGAUAUGGUGCUUAUGGCUGUAGCACAGAAAAGCAGGACUUACAGCUGAAUCUUCAGAGAGGCUCUGACAGUGAAGGUGCUUUAAGUUGGUCCAUGGUCCACAGUCCACAUCCUGUGGGAACACAACUUUCUACUCCAAGUGAGUCAGUGUCCAAAGAGACUGCUUUGCCAACACCAAACACGUGGCAAAAUGCUGUCACUAGCCAAGUCACAAACCUUGCAUGGCCAGUUAUGCUUCAUGACCUGAUGAAAUCUGAAGCCAGGUUUUGAGCAUCUCCAAGGAAGGUUACUAUUUCUGAGCACUGUUCAGUAAAGUCCCAGCUUCCUGCCAUCUUGCUUGUCUUCCUUUUUUCUCCCCUCCUUCCAGCUGCCCUAUCACCCUCUAGGUAUGGAUACUUUCAUAAAAACUGCUCAGCAAGAACAUAUCUCACUACUCUUUUCUAUCCAGCAAGUGAAUGUUAUGAUUUCAUUUUCCUCCAACACAUCGAUGGGCCUAACUUACCAGCAUAAAAAUAAACAGGCAAAAGCAAA